rnacentral:snRNA from 1 species
AUCGCUUCUCGGCCUUUUGGCUAAGAUCAAAGUGUAGUAUCUGUUCUUAUCAGCUUGAUAACUGAUACGAUCCCAUGUGGGAUUCUACGAUUUAAACUGAUUAUUGGAAUAUGGCGAGUGCUAGGGGCUUGCUCCACCUUUGCCGCGGAUCGUCCCGGUAUUGCAGUAACCUGCCUGAUUGGGCCCAUCCUCC